AGCUUCUUGGCGCAGCGGAAGCGCGCCGGGCUCAUAACCCGGAGGUCGCUCGAUCGAAACGAGCAGAAGCUA
rnacentral:tRNA from 2 species